rnacentral:rRNA from 1 species
UACGAAGGGGGCUAGCGUUGCUCGGAAUUACUGGGCGUAAAGCGCACGUAGGCGGCUUGUCACGUCGGAUGUGAAAGCCCGGGGCUUAACCCCGGGUCUGCAUUCGAUACGGGCAGGCUAGAGUGUGGUAGGGGAGAUCGGAAUUCCUGGUGUAGCGGUGAAAUGCGCAGAUAUCAGGAGGAACACCAAUGGCGAAAGCAGCUCGCUGGGACGGUACUGACGCUGAGACGCGAAAGCGUGGGGAGCAAACAGG